AACCUUUACACUGCACGACAGUGCGAUAAGGGAAUCCCAAGUGCGUAGGCAUAGAGCCUACGCUUUUGUCCACCGUAGGGAGGUGGACGAAUAAGGGCUGGGCAAGACCGGUGCCAGCCGCCGCGGUAAUACCGGCAGCCCGAGUGAUGGCCGAUCUUAUUGGGCCUAAAGCGUCCGUAGCUGGCCGCGCAAGUCUAUCGGAAAAUCCACCCGCUCAACGGGUGGGCGUCCGGUAGAAACUGCGUGGCUUGGGACCGGAAGGCGCGACGGGUACGUCCGGGGUAGGAGUGAAAUCCCGUAAUCCUGGACGGACCGCCGAUGGCGAAAGCACGUCGCGAAGACGGAUCCGACAGUGAGGGACGAAAGCUAGGGUCUCGAACCGGAUUAGAUACCCGGGUAGUCCUAGCCGUAAACAAUGCCUGCUAGGUGUGGCUCCCGCUACGAGUGGGUGCUGUGCCGUAGGGAAGCCGCUAAGCAGGCCGCCUGGGAAGUACGUCCGCAAGGAUGAAACUUAA
rnacentral:rRNA from 1 species